rnacentral:rRNA from 1 species
UCGAGCGGUAGCACAAGGGAUUUUGCUCCCUGGGUGACGAGCGGCGGACGGGUGAGUAAUGUCUGGGAAACUGCCUGAUGGAGGGGGAUAACUACUGGAAACGGUAGCUAAUACCGCAUAACGUCCCAAGACCAAAGAGGGGGACCUUCGGGCCUCUUGCCUUCAGAUGUGCCCAGAUGGGAUUAUCUAUUAGGUGGGGUAAUGGCUCACCUAGGCGACGAUCCCUAGCUGGUCUGAGAGGAUGACCAGCCACACUGGAACUGAGACACGGUCCAGACUCCUACGGGAGGCAGCAGUGGGGAAUAUUGCACAAUGGGCGCAAGCCUGAUGCAGCCAUGCCGCGUGUGUGAAGAAGGCCUUCGGGUUGUAAAGCACUUUCAGCGAGGAGGAAGGUGGUGAGCUUAAUACGUUCAUCAAUUGACGUUACUCGCAGAAGAAGCACCGGCUAACUCCGUGCCAGCAGCCGCGGUAAUACGGAGGGUGCAAGCGUUAAUCGGAAUUACUGGGCGUAAAGCGCACGCAGGCGGUUUGUUAAGUCAGAUGUGAAAUCCCCGGGCUCAACCUGGGAACUGCAUUUGAAACUGGCAAGCUAGAGUCUCGUAGAGGGGGGUAGAAUUCCAGGUGUAGCGGUGAAAUGCGUAGAGAUCUGGAGGAAUACCGGUGGCGAACGCGGCCCCCUGCACUAAGACUGACGCUCAGGUGCGAUAGCGUGGGGAGCAAACAGGAUUAGAUACUCUGGCUAGUCCACGCUGUAAACGAUGUCGA